rnacentral:lncRNA from 1 species
CUCCAAAACACAAAUCAUCUAUGGAUAACCCUGCCAAACCUCACCCAACCCCGGGUGAGGAGUACAAAAAACUCUAGGAGCCCCCUAUCCUACAACCCUGAUACUAGAUCUCCAGACUUUCCUAUCAAGUGUCAUGUCCUCGGAAACCCGCAUUCUAGCCAUGUCAUGCCUAAUCACCUCUCCCCAAUACCUCUUAGGUCUCCCUCUGCCUC